rnacentral:rRNA from 1 species
GGGGGCCAGCGUUGCUCGGAAUUACUGGGUGUAAAGGGUUCGUAGGCGGUGUGGCAAGUCGGGAGUGAAAUCUCUGGGCUUAACCCAGAGUCUGCUUCCGAAACUGCUGUGCUUGAGUGUGGGAGAGGCGCGUGGAAUUGCAGGUGUAGCGGUGAAAUGCGUAGAUAUCGGAAGGAACAUCAGUGGCGAAAGCGACUUCCUGGACCAAUACUGACGCUCAUGUGCGAAAGCGUGGGGAGCAAACAGG